AUGAACGCUAGCUACAGGCUUAACACAUGCAAGUCGAGGGGCAGCAUGGUCUUAGCUUGCUAAGGCUGAUGGCGACCGGCGCACGGGUGAGUAACACGUAUCCAACCUGCCGUCUACUCUUGGACAGCCUUCUGAAAGGAAGAUUAAUACAAGAUGGCAUCAUGAGUCCGCAUGUUCACAUGAUUAAAGGUAUUCCGGUAGACGAUGGGGAUGCGUUCCAUUAGAUAGUAGGCGGGGUAACGGCCCACCUAGUCUUCGAUGGAUAGGGGUUCUGAGAGGAAGGUCCCCCACAUUGGAACUGAGACACGGUCCAAACUCCUACGGGAGGCAGCAGUGAGGAAUAUUGGUCAAUGGGCGAGAGCCUGAACCAGCCAAGUAGCGUGAAGGAUGACUGCCCUAUGGGUUGUAAACUUCUUUUAUAAAGGAAUAAAGUCGGGUAUGGAUACCCGUUUGCAUGUACUUUAUGAAUAAGGAUCGGCUAACUCCGUGCCAGCAGCCGCGGUAAUACGGAGGAUCCGAGCGUUAUCCGGAUUUAUUGGGUUUAAAGGGAGCGUAGAUGGAUGUUUAAGUCAGUUGUGAAAGUUUGCGGCUCAACCGUAAAAUUGCAGUUGAUACUGGAUAUCUUGAGUGCAGUUGAGGCAGGCGGAAUUCGUGGUGUAGCGGUGAAAUGCUUAGAUAUCACGAAGAACUCCGAUUGCGAAGGCAGCCUGCUAAGCUGCAACUGACAUUGAGGCUCGAAAGUGUGGGUAUCAAACAGGAUUAGAUACCCUGGUAGUCCACACGGUAAACGAUGAAUACUCGCUGUUUGCGAUAUACUGCAAGCGGCCAAGCGAAAGCGUUAAGUAUGCCACCUGGGGAGUACGCCGGCAACGGUGAAACUCAAAGGAAUUGACGGGGGCCCGCACAAGCGGUGGAGCAUGUGGUUUAAUUCGAUGCAACGCGAAGAACCUUACCUGGUCUUGACAUCCACGGAAGUUUUCAGAGAUGAGAAUGUGCCUUCGGGAACCGUGAGACAGGUGCUGCAUGGCUGUCGUCAGCUCGUGUUGUGAAAUGUUGGGUUAAGUCCCGCAACGAGCGCAACCCUUAUCCUUUGUUGCCAGCGGUCCGGCCGGGAACUCAAAGGAGACUGCCAGUGAUAAACUGGAGGAAGGUGGGGAUGACGUCAAAUCAGCACGGCCCUUACGUCCGGGGCUACACACGUGUUACAAUGGGGGGUACAGAGGGCCGCUACCACGCGAGUGGAUGCCAAUCCCCAAAACCUCUCUCAGUUCGGACUGGAGUCUGCAACCCGACUCCACGAAGCUGGAUUCGCUAGUAAUCGCGCAUCAGCCACGGCGCGGUGAAUACGUUCCCGGGCCUUGUACACACCGCCCGUCAAGCCAUGGGAGCCGGGGGUACCUGAAGUGCGUAACCGCGAGGAGCGCCCUAGGGUAAAACUGGUGACUGGGGCU
rnacentral:rRNA from 1 species